CAUUGUUCUCGGGGCGGGGUGCAAUUCCCCACCGGCGGUAAUCAGGCGCGUCAUGCCCUGUAGCCCGCGAGCGUUCGUGCAGUGCCGCGCGAAGUCAGCAGACCCGGUGUGAUCCCGGGGCCGACGGUCAUAGUCCGGAUGAAAGAGAACGGGA
rnacentral:ncRNA from 2 species